GCAACCCUGACGCAGCGACGCCGCGUGAGUGAGGAAGGCCUUCGGGUCGUAAAGCUCUGUCAAAGGGAAAGAAGUGCAUGGUGGCUAAUACCUGCCAUGUUUGACGGUACCCUUAAAGGAAGCACCGGCUAACUCCGUGCCAGCAGCCGCGGUAAUA
rnacentral:rRNA from 1 species